rnacentral:rRNA from 1 species
AGAGACAGCAGUAGCCACGGGAAUACAGAGGGUGCGAGCGUUAAUCGGAUUUACUGGGCGUAAAGCGUGCGUAGGCGGCUUCUUAAGUCGGAUGUGAAAUCCCUGAGCUUAACUUAGGAAUUGCAUUCGAUACUGGGAAGCUAGAGUAUGGGAGAGGAUGGUAGAAUUCCAGGUGUAGCGGUGAAAUGCGUAGAGAUCUGGAGGAAUACCGAUGGCGAAGGCAGCCAUCUGGCCUAAUACUGACGCUGAGGUACGAAAGCAUGGGGAGCAAACAGGAUUAGAUACCCCAGUAGUCCCUGUCUCUUAUAC